UACAGAGGUCUCAAGCGUUGUUCGGAUUCAUUGGGCGUAAAGGGUGCGUAGGUGGCCAGGUAAGUCGGAUGUGAAAUCCCGGGGCUCAACCCCGGAACUGCAUUCGAUACUGCCCGGCUUGAGUACUGGAGAGGAGAUUGGAAUUUACGGUGUAGCAGUGAAAUGCGUAGAUAUCGUAAGGAAGACCAGUGGCGAAGGCGGAUCUCUGGACAGUUACUGACACUGAGGCACGAAGGCCAGGGGAGCAGACGGG
rnacentral:rRNA from 1 species